ACGCUCGACACCUACGGGAGGCAGCAGUCGGGAAUAUUGCGCAAUGGAGGAAACUCUGACGCAGUGACGCCGCGUAUAGGAAGAAGGUCUUCGGAUUGUAAACUAUUGUCGUUAGGGAAGAAAAAGGACAGUACCUAAGGAGGAAGCUCCGGCUAACUACGUGCCAACAGCCGCGGUAAUCUGAGCGGGCUGGCAAGGC
rnacentral:rRNA from 1 species